UCCCUCGAUUUAAAUGAAUCGAAGAUCCAUACAAUUUAAUUGCUUCAGUUUUAAAAAUUAAAUGACAUGAUGACAUGAUGCAAUGCAAAUGAUGCAAUGAUGAAUGCAACAAACCAACAACUCACACGACGAAACUCGGAAAACAUGGAAGGCGUCUGAAACUCCGGUCUUGGGGCGUUACACUAGCCGUCCUAUCCAUUCCAUUCUCGCAGCCGCCACCGCUCCUCAUUUUCAGGUCCACCCCAACUAGCAGGCUCCACCUCUUCCUCCAGAUCCAGCAAGUCAAUCCUCCUCUGGACCGUCGGGUCUGUGAUCCAAUGGAUCAUGCGCGGCUCCUGCAACCCGCAGCUCCACCCAUCGGACGCAACCUCCUCGAUCCAAUCUAGAUCGGGAAGGAGUCCCUACCGCCGCGCGUCCUAGCCACCCUUUUCUUCGCUGGAUCGCUGCCGCCGGCGCCUGCAGGAGCUCACCAUCGAUGAUGAGCACCAUCACGCCCUUCUCCCAUCUUUCCCUUCUGUCUCGCUCUCCCUCCGGUCUCACAUCUCUCCCUCUCUGUUUGCUCGAACAGGAGACAGUGGCGUCGCCUGGAGCGUCUCCACCGCUGACUCCCUCCGUCUAUGGUUCCCCGGCCCCGCUCCCUUGCCGGAGACCCCAAGACGCUGCCUCACUGGAGAUCCCAAGAUGCUGCCUCACCAACAGGAGCAGCAGUAGACCAUGGCGCCACCACCUCCUAGCACCGCUGCCCGCGACCUCGCCGAACCAGGCCACCUGCAGGCCAACCCCGCCGCCGCACCACCCGUGCAAGUCCCGUCAGCCAUCGCCAUUCUUUCUCCGGUGCCUCGUCCCCGUCGAAUUUCUUGAGAUCGCCACCCCUGCGCCUCAAGUCUCUUCCGCAGGAGCCCUGCAGUCCCGGUGCCGCCGUCCCACAUCAAGCCUUUGCGCCUCUCCGCCAAUUCCCUCUGUUGUGUCGCCCGCCCUCUUGCUUCCUCUACUUCGUUCUACGGAAGGACGACGAGCCCCUGCCUCGAGCAUGUGCGCGCGUUGACUGCCCCUGGCCUGCCUCGAAUGCCAGCCAUGUCCUCGCGUGGGCGGCAUCCCGUGGCCCAGCUUGACCCGCCUCCUACCGGGCCAGGCUACAAAUUUCCAGUAACGUUGCGAUUGUGAGGAUCAGUUCGUCUACUUCAUGGAUUCAAUCAUCUUCCUAGCGGGAUUUCAGGAAAGAUGACCCUCAUCUUGGAUCUCACUACUAUCGUUGCUAUGCUAGAUGUCUUGAUGCUAUCGCUAUGUCGCGCUACCUACCACUUGUUUAUUGAGCCUCCCAAAUUGCCAUGAUUAUCCUCUAACCUUUUCGCCCUUCUGAGCAAACCGUUGUUUGGCUAUGU